rnacentral:rRNA from 1 species
UGGGGGAUAUUGCACAAUGGGCGAAAGCCUGAUGCAGCGACGCCGCGUGGGGGAUGAAGGCUUUCGGGUUGUAAACCUCUUUCGCUAUCGAACAAGGCCCGCUUAGGGUGGGUUGAGGGUAGGUGGGGAAGAAGCGCCGGCUAACUACGUGCCAGCAGCCGCGGUAAUACGUAGGGCGCGAGCGUUGUCCGGAAUUAUUGGGCGUAAAGGGCUUGUAGGCGGCUUGUUGCGCCUGCUGUGAAAACGCGGGGCUUAACUUCGCGCGUGCAGUGGGUACGGGCAGGCUUGAGUGUGGUAGGGGUGACUGGAAUUCCAGGUGUAGCGGUGGAAUGCGCAGAUAUCUGGAGGAACACCGAUGGCGAAGGCAGGUCACUGGGCCAUUACUGACGCUGAGGAGCGAAAGCAUGGGUAGCGAACAGG